GACUCUCCAUCCCCUCUGCAGCACUUGCUGAGAGCCGCCUGCUUGGGGGAAGAGGGCGCGGAUCCCCCCGUCCCUAGACAUGCCCCGGAGCUGGAGCCGGGGCACACUCACCAGACUUCCAGGCCAGAAGAAACUAUUCUGAUCUAAUCUGACUUCCUGCAUAAUACAAGCCAAUAAUUUCUACAUCAACCUGACAACUCCUGUUUGAGCUUUAGCAUCUCUUUAGAAAGAUAUCCAAUCUUGAUGUGAAGAUUUCAAGUGAUGAAGAUCCACCAGAACCCAACCUUAGCUAAGAACGCUUGGAUUGGUCACACCACUUGGUUGGAAGACCUCCAAAUAAAACCCAGGAACUGGGGUGCCUGAGUCAGUAGGUGGUGUUCUUCCCUUAAAACUCCUGGAUCCUGAAACUCCCUCCUCACAUGAGUAAUCCAUACCUAGCAACUACAGUAGACUCAUUGAGCUCAACAGGACUACUUGUUUUGGUAAAGAUUUGGGUCAUUUUUGAUUGUAAAGGAACCUUUAGAUUUUCCCCAAAGCAUUGUAUUUCCACUCCACACAAGAGAAGUAUGUUUGGACAUAGCUGUAUAUAUUUUGAAUUUACAUUAAUUUACAUGAUGUGGUACAAAAGUCUUUUUCUCCCUUCUAUUUCUAGCCUGCUGAAUUAUAAACCUGCCAGAAGUGAAGGUUUACUAGAAAUAUGUUGUUGACACAACCUUAACAGUAGCCAUGCUUCAAGAUGAAGCUGUAAUAGGUCUUUCCUUUAUAUGUGCAUGGUAAUAAAAUAUGUGACAAAUGUAUUACUGGGGACUUAACAAUCCUUGAUAAUGAGACCAUGGCAUAGCUCUUUGAAUCUGAUUUAAACAUUGAUAUUUAGAGGGGUAAGGUUGACGUGUAUCUCUGUAUGUGUUUUUCAGCUGCAAUUUUUUCUAUCUACCCUGAGAAUGCCACUGGGUUUUUAAAUUCUGAUGUGUCCUAAAUAGAACAAAAAAGUGGUGCCUCAUGGUGAUUUUAUUAUCUGCAUUUACAACGUGUUGAUCCUGAGUUCAGAAAUGUCCCAAUUUCCGAAGUUUUAAUCAUGAAUUUUUAAGCACAUUUUAUUUAUGGCCUUGGAAGUGGAAG